CGCAGCCGCGGUAAUACAGAGGGUGCGAGCGUUAAUCGGAUUUACUGGGCGUAAAGCGUGCGUAGGCGGCUUCUUAAGUCGGAUGUGAAAUCCCUGAGCUUAACUUAGGAAUUGCAUUCGAUACUGGGAAGCUAGAGUAUGGGAGAGGAUGGUAGAAUUCCAGGUGUAGCGGUGAAAUGCGUAGAGAUCUGGAGGAAUACCGAUGGCGAAGGCAGCCAUCUGGCCUAAUACUGACGCUGAGGUACGAAAGCAUGGGGAGCAAACAGGAUUAGAGACCCGCGUAGUCCCUGUCUCUUAUACA
rnacentral:rRNA from 1 species